rnacentral:rRNA from 1 species
UAUCCUGACCGUGCGAAGGUAGCGUAAUCAUUUGUCUUUUAAAUAGAGACCUGUAUGAAUGGCAUAACGAGGGUUUAACUGUCUCCCUCCCCCAGUCAAUGAAAUUGAUCUGCCCGUGCAGAAGCGGACAUAAACACAUAAGACGAGAAGACCCUAUGGAGCUUUAGACAAAAGAUCAAACAUGUAAAGAAACCAAACCAACCAAAAGGAACACAAAGGCCACAAAACCCAACGUAAAAUGAUCAAAAUGUCUUCGGUUGGGGCGACCAUGGGGGAAAGAAAAGCCCCCACGAGGAACUAAGGGCAAUCCAUUAAGCCAAGAGAUACACCUCUAAGCAACAGAAAAUCUGACCAAAAAUGACCCAGGACACUAAUCCUGAUCAACGAACCAAGUUACCCUAGGGAUAACAGCGCAAUCCUUUCCCAGAGUCCAUAUCGACGAAAGGGUUUACGACCUCGAUGUUGGAUCAGGACAUCCUAAUGGUGCAGCCGCUAUUAAGGGUUCGUUUGUUCAACGAUU